rnacentral:rRNA from 1 species
UACGUAGGGUGCAAGCGUUAAUCGGAAUUACUGGGCGUAAAGGGCGCGUAGGCGGUUAUUUAAGUUGGAUGUGAAAUCCCUGGGCUUAACCUAGGAACUGCAUUCAAUACUGGAUAACUAGAGUGCAGUAGAGGGUAGUGGAAUUUCCGGUGUAGCGGUGAAAUGCGUAGAUAUGCGGAGGAACACCGAUGGCGAAGGC